GGCUUUAUAGUCAACAAUGAUAUUAGACUGCAAUUCUAAAGGAGUAGAAUAUAUUUUUACUAAGGCUU
rnacentral:tRNA from 1 species